UACGGGGGGAGCAAGCGUUGCUCGGAAUCACUGGGCGUAAAGGGUGCGUAGGCGGGUCUUUUAAGUCAGGGGUGAAAUCCUGGAGCUCAACUCCAGAACUGCCUUUGAUACUGAAGAUCUUGAGUUCGGGAGAGGUGAGUGGAACUGCGAGUGUAGAGGUGAAAUUCGUAGAUAUUCGCAAGAACACCAGUGGCGAAGGCGGCUCACUGGCCCGAUACUGACGCUGAGGCACGAAAGCGUGGGGAGCAAACAGGG
rnacentral:rRNA from 1 species